rnacentral:rRNA from 1 species
UACGGAGGGGGCUAGCGUUGCUCGGAAUCACUGGGCGUAAAGCGCACGUAGGCGGAUUGUUAAGUCAGGGGUGAAAUCCUGGAGCUCAACUCCAGAACUGCCUUUGAUACUGGCGAUCUUGAGUCCGGGAGAGGUGAGUGGAACUGCGAGUGUAGAGGUGAAAUUCGUAGAUAUUCGCAAGAACACCAGUGGCGAAGGCGGCUCACUGGCCCGUAACUGACGCUGAGGCACGAAAGCGUGGGGAGCAAACAGG